UACGAAGGGGGCUAGCGUUGCUCGGAAUUACUGGGCGUAAAGGGUGCGUAGGCGGUCGGGUAAGUCUGAUGUGAAAUCUCACAGCUUAACUGUGAAACUGCAUUGGAUACUAUCCGGCUCGAGGAAUGGAGGGGAGACUGGAAUACUUGGUGUAGCAGUGAAAUGCGUAGAUAUCACUUGGAACGCCAAAGGUGAAAACAGUCUGCUGGGGAUCUGCUGACGCUGAGACACGAAAGCCAGGGGAGCGAACGGG
rnacentral:rRNA from 1 species